UUUUACAGGCAUUGAGAGAGAGAGAGAGAGAGAGAGAGAGAGAGAGAGAGAGAGCAGCGUGGUUAGUGCGAAGCCCUAAUCCUGUGAGAACGAAGACUGCGACAUUUCCAAUCACUUUUACAACGCACAGUGGCAGGAUGCUGGCGGCUGCAAUAACAGAAAGCGGGGCACUUCUCAAAAAAGCAAAGAAAAGGAAGAGGAGGCUGGUGGCUGCAAUAACAAAAAGCGACCUUCAGUGUCCACAUCUUCAUGCAGUAUCUUAUCGUGAAGGUUGUGCUGUUUACUUCUGGCCUGGAGGCUAAUUGCAUGAGCUAGUCAAAGAGUUCUUGAUUGGAAAACAAUUUCAAAAUUACAGCAGACAUAUUAUGAAAAUCCCAAUUCAAGAAUUAAGACCAAUGCGUGAUAGUCACAUCGCAGAAGUGACGGCAACUUCUCAAAAGUUGACUUCCAACUUUGCCAUCUCUAUGGAUAAUUACUUCAAUUCAAUUACUCUUCUGAGCUUUAACGCCAUUCAUGCUGGCAGGGAAAUUCUAUAUUAACUUCACAUCAGUGGGGAAAAAUCUCAUCUCUGAAGAAUCCGGGCUUGGAGUUAUUACUUCAAAACUGGCAGCUCAAGACAAUUGCUCUAGUGAUUUAAUUAGAGAGAGAAAGAGAAGGUAUUUCGCCGUCUGUAUGAUUAAUUUGCUGAAGAAGGGGAGGAGAUGACACACUGAGUGACCAUUCGGUACCUUUCUAUUUUCGGUUUUCAUUUUAUACAGUGAAGGUAUAGGUGAUGACAAUGGAUUUGUUUACAUUCGGUAGUUUUUUGCUUUUAUUGUUAGUUUUCAGUUGUGACAAAAACUAAAAAUUAGAUUUUAUGAUUUUUAAUUAUGGUGGUAAUUUGUUGUUAAAAUACUUUAAUAUUCAAAAUUUAUUUUUAAAUUAAAUUACUCCAUGCAUAAUUUUUUAAUAAAAAAUUACAAUAAAUUGAACAGCAACUAAAACAAAACAUUCAUAAAAUUUCAAAAAUUUAGAAAAAUUAAUAAAAGUAAUUUAAAAUUUAUUUUACCAAUGAUGAUUCUUGAAGUCCUAGAAGUGAGUUUAAAAAUAUAAAAGUAAAGUGAAAUAUUACAAUAACAAAGUAAAAUAUUGUAAAUCUCAAUGUUGGGUGUAUGAACCACCUCCUGCCACUUGUGAAAUCUUUGUCUACUAAUUUAAUUAUUAGGGUUUGGUUUAUGAAAUCGAAUUGUUGCAGGGUUAGUGGACCACCUUCCUUGAAAGAAGUCCUUGCUUUUUUGUUCCCCACAACUCUCCAAUUUCAUUUCAUGGGGCACCAAAGGGGCCAUUAAUGCUUGAUUAGCACAGGCAAAAUGGAAGCAAGUUCACUCCUGAGUUCUGACUUUGGAGGCUCUCCUCAUUGCAUGGGCAAGUCAGAGAGGAAAAGUACAGCAGACAGAAAUACACAUGACACAGCCCAAAUGGCUCCCUUGUGUUCCUAAUUAAUAUCAUUAUAGCUAUUGUAUUGCGUAUGAUUCUGAAUAAUCAGCACUCAAUCAUGUAUUUUUUUGACAUUUAAUAAAGAGAACGACAAGGGAUGUUG